rnacentral:rRNA from 1 species
AACGCUAGCUACAGGCUUAACACAUGCAAGUCGAGGGGCAGCAUGGUCUUAGCUUGCUAAGGCCGAUGGCGACCGGCGCACGGGUGAGUAACACGUAUCCAACCUGCCGUCUACUCUUGGACAGCCUUCUGAAAGGAAGAUUAAUACAAGAUGGCAUCAUGAGUCCGCAUGUUCACAUGAUUAAAGGUAUUCCGGUAGACGAUGGGGAUGCGUUCCAUUAGAUAGUAGGCGGGGUAACGGCCCACCUAGUCUUCGAUGGAUAGGGGUUCUGAGAGGAAGGUCCCCCACAUUGGAACUGAGACACGGUCCAAACUCCUACGGGAGGCAGCAGUGAGGAAUAUUGGUCAAUGGGCGAGAGCCUGAACCAGCCAAGUAGCGUGAAGGAUGACUGCCCUAUGGGUUGUAAACUUCUUUUAUAAAGGAAUAAAGUCGGGUAUGGAUACCCGUUUGCAUGUACUUUAUGAAUAAGGAUCGGCUAACUCCGUGCCAGCAGCCGCGGUAAUACGGAGGAUCCGAGCGUUAUCCGGAUUUAUUGGGUUUAAAGGGAGCGUAGAUGGAUGUUUAAGUCAGUUGUGAAAGUUUGCGGCUCAACCGUAAAAUCGCAGUUGAUACUGGAUAUCUUGAGUGCAGUUGAGGCAGGCGGAAUUCGUGGUGUAGCGGUGAAAUGCUUAGAUAUCACGAAGAACUCCGAUUG